GACGAACGCUGGCGGCGUGCCUAAUACAUGCAAGUAGAACGCUGAAGGAGGAGCUUUCUUCUCUGGAUGAGUUGCGAACGGGUGAGUAACGCGUAGGUAACCUGCCUGUUAGCGGGGGAUAACUAUUGGAAACGAUAGCUAAUACCGCAUAAUAGUAGAUGUUGCAUGACAUUUGCUUAAAAGGUGCAAUUGCAUCACUACCAGAUGGACCUGCGUUGUAUUAUGUAGUUGGUGAAGUAACGGCUCACCAAGGCGACGAUACUUAGUCGGCCUGAGAGGGGGAUCGGGCAACCCGGGAAUGAGACAAGGCCCAGAAUUCUACGGGAGGCAGCAGUAGGGAAUCUUUGGCAAUGGACGGAAGUCUGACCGAGCAAAGCCGGGUGAGUGAAGAAGGUUCUCGGAUUGUAAAGCUCCGUUGUAAGAGAAGAACGAGUGUGAGAGUGGAAAGUUCACACUGUGACGGUAUCUUACCAGAAAGGGACGGCUAACUACGUG
rnacentral:rRNA from 1 species